AGCCCGCAGGAGCCGCCUCCCGGGAGGCGGGGCGGUCCCGGCUGCUGCAGCUUUUGCCUCCUCCCCUGGCUCCGGGUGGUGCUCUUCGCGGCCGCGUCAGGGAGACUGCUGGAGCAGAACUAUCAAGCAAGAGCAGGCUUUGCACUGUCAUUUGUCAUCAGGUUUGCAACCAGACUGGAAAAGCUGAAUUUGAAGCUUCCUGCCUGCAGUGAGGCCAAGAGACACCUAUUGCUCACAAAAUAAGACAUGAGCUUCAACGUGACUUUUCACCUUUCCUACAGAUUCCGAUUACUGCUGCUUUUUACCUUAUGCCUGACAGUGGUUGGGUGGGCCACCAGUAACUACUUUGUGGGUGCCAUUCAAGACAUUCCUAAAGCAAAGGAGCUCAUGGCUAAUUUCAACAAGGGUAUAGUUUGGGGGAAGAAAGGAACUGUGACAGAUGAAGCAUCUGUGAAAAAAGCAGACCUUGACAACUGCCCUUCUGUGUCUCCAUACCUCAAAGGCCAGACCAAGCUUGUUUUCAAACCAGAUCUCACUCUGGAAGAAGUACGGGCAGAAAACCCCAAAGUGCACAGAGGCCGGUAUCACCCGGAGGAAUGCAGGGCUGUGCAGCGGGUGGCCAUCCUGAUUCCUCACCGGCACAGAGAGAAGCACCUACUGUACCUGCUGGAACACCUUCACCCCUUCCUGCAGAGGCAGCAGCUGGACUAUGGCAUCUACAUCAUCCACCAGGCUGGAAAUAAAAAGUUUAAUCGCGCCAAACUCCUGAAUGUGGGCUAUCUAGAAGCUCUUAAGGAUGAAAACUGGGACUGCUUUAUAUUCCAUGAUGUGGACCUGGUGCCUGAGAAUGACUGGAACAUUUACAGGUGUGAGGAUCAGCCCAAGCAUCUGGUGGUUGGCAGGAACAGCACUGGGUACAGGUUACGGUACAGUGGAUAUUUUGGGGGUGUUACUGCCCUAAGCCGAGAGCAAUUUUUCAAGGUGAAUGGAUUCUCUAACAACUACUGGGGAUGGGGAGGCGAAGACGAUGACCUCAGACUCAGGGUUGAGCUUCAUAGAAUGAAAAUAAUCCGGCCACUACCUGAAGUGGGUAAAUAUACUAUGAUCUUUCACAAGAGAGACCAAGGCAACGAGGUGAAUAUAGAACGGAUGAAGCUCUUACAUCAAGUGUCACGUGUCUGGAGAACAGAUGGGUUGACCAGUUGUGAUUAUAAAUUACUCUCUGUGGAUUACAAUCCUUUAUAUAUCAAUAUCACAGUGGAUUUCUUGUCUAGUCCAUGACUCUGGAUCUUUUGGUGACAUUUGGAGGAACUGAAUAUUUGAUUGCAAUAAUUUUGACCUAGAGAUUCCCCUGGUAGCACACAUUAAGAACUUGUUGCAGCCAAUCAUUGAGCUGAAUUCUCCUUUUUUGGUGUUUUCUUAGCAGAGCUCCUGGUGAUGUGGAGUGUAAAACAAUUGUAACAAGACAGCUUUCUUAGUUGUUUUGAUCAUGAAGGUUAAAUAUUGUAAUGUAGAUACUUGAAGGACUAGGUGUCAAAGGACUACACAAAAGAUCUCAUGAAGGCUACAUACAUAUUUUCUGAUAUAUUAAAAAGGCCAUGGGAGGUAAGAUUGCUAAAUGUCCCGGAGAACCAGAAUUAUUCUCAUCCAAGGGAGACAGAGAUGAAGAUGUGUUUCUCUUACUUAUUUAUCCUGUAUGGCCAUCUGUGAAGAGGUGGGUCCCCGGUGAGAAGGCAGCCAAGGAAGAGGAGACAAAAGGUGAAGAAUCAAGGUGCAGUGAACUUGGCACUGAAGAGGUGGCAGAAGGACUGUGUCAGAUGGAGAGCUGCUGUGGUGCUGCUGCUGCUGCGGCUGUGCUGCUGCUGCGGCUGUCACUCUGCAGUGGUGUCACCUGCCCAGAUGAGCCUUCUGGUAACAACCUAGCAGAGAACACGUUACCUACUCAUUUUUAGAGCAUUUUUGUAAAAUGAUUUUGUACGUGUAGGAUAUGAAAUAGUUGUUUACAAAUUACAUAUUAACAAUAAUACCUACAAAGUACCUCUGUAGUAAAAUAUGAAAAAGC